ensembl:lncRNA
AGUGAUUUUGGAGCUGAAGAAACUAUUUGAAAUAGCUCAACUGGAAUUUCAUCACCUUCACUAGCUUUGUUCGUACUGAUGCUUCCUAAGGCCCACUGGACUUUGCAUUCCAGGAUGUCUGGCUCUAGGAUAUAACCUGGCUGAAACAACCUCCACGUGGAAGAGGCCAAGCACAACAGGAGCCCAACUCAGUGAAGCUCCCGCAUUAGAAGCGGAAGGCGAAGAAACCCAUUGCAGGGGAAGGCCCAUCAUGCUGGAAACCGGGACAGCGAAAAACGAACUCAGCAGAAAGCUCACGCGGCCCAGUCUCAGAUUCCAGAAGACCUCCGGUUAAGGUCAACCAGCUACAACAUGCAGUGCCAGUUCAACAAAGAUAUAAAACUACAGUUGACCACGGAAAAUAUCACACACCCUUGGACACCACUAUAAGGACUCUGAGGAUGGAGACUAGCAAGAGGGGGAGGCCCAAUACCCCUCGCCUCCCCAGUUCAGCAGGAAGUAGCCAGAAAGACCUCGACGCCUCUAUUCCCAAAGAAUUGGGCCUCGUAUCUCUUGAGGGGGGAAUGUUAGGUAGGUAGAAUAGGGAAAAGGAGUCCAAAAUGGCGGUGGCUAAAAGACAAGGAAGGUCCGAGGACCAGAGUGAAGACUUCAGGCAGAACAAACAGAACAAACAGCACUCCUGGCUAAGCCCAAUUUGUACAGGGCAGGCCCAGGUGGAGGAAAAACAUAUAAAAGGAGGAGCCAAAGCGCUUUCUCACGGACUCUCUCUCUCCCGCGUGCAUGUGCGCGCGCUCUCUCUCCCUCUCUCUCUCUCUCUCUCUCUCC